CAGCCGCCGCGGUAAUACGAAGGGUGCAAGCGUUAAUCGGAAUUACCGGGCGUAAAGCGUGCGUAGGCGGUGAGUUAAGUCUGCUGUGAAAUCCCCGGGCUCAACCUGGGAAUGGCAGUGGAUACUGGCUCGCUAGAGUGUGUCAGAGGAUGGUGGAAUUCCCGGUGUAGCGGUGAAAUGCGUAGAGAUCGGGAGGAACAUCAGUGGCGAAGGCGGCCAUCUGGGACAACACUGACGCUGAGGCACGAAAGCGUGGGGAGCAAACAGGAUUAGAUACCCCUGUAGUCCCUGUCUCUUAUAC
rnacentral:rRNA from 1 species